rnacentral:rRNA from 1 species
UACGUAGGUGGCAAGCGUUGUCCGGAUUUACUGGGCGUAAAGAGCGCGCAGGCGGUCGUGCAAGUCGCGUGUGAAAGCCCCCGGCUCAACUGGGGAGGGUCACGCGAUACUGUUCGACUCGAAGGCAGGAGAGGGAAGCAGAAUUCCCGGUGUAGUGGUGAAAUGCGUAGAUAUCGGGAGGAAUACCAGUGGCGAAGGCGGCUUCCUGGCCUGUUCUUGACGCUGAGGCGCGAAAGCUAGGGUAGCAAACGGG